UCAUACUACUCACUCCUCCAAAGAGGCCACCACUUCCCUCUGCUGCCAUCUUCUAGAAGCAACGCAGAAGCUGAAGUUCAUGCUACAGUCCUGGGCCAGAACCUGGUAUGACAUCUCAGCACAGCUCAUAAAGAAUGAGAGGGGACAAGAGGUGCCACUUCAGCUUGUUCUCCGGCACCUCUGCGCUCUCUCUAGCACUCUUUCAGCAGGUCACAUGCAGAUUCUAUGUAAUGAUUGCAACGGGGGCAGGAUGGCCCUGAAUUACUCCUAGUUUUGCUGGCUGCAGGUCUUCUGAAAUCAAGGGCAUGGGUCUGGGAGAUCAGGAACCUGUUUUAGAAAUAGUACCAGCUUGAAGGUCGAGUUCAUCCACCCCACAGUGGUGAGGCCCUUAAAGUUCAGCACCCAGGAAUGCUCAGCAGAUACUUCUUCUCAUGUAAGAGCUGGAAAUGUGACACAACCACACUGAUUUCAAAGCGUUUGGCUCAGGCUGAUCUCACUGCAGUAAGUGGGGGUCACCGGAGAGACAGCGGUUCUGGGAAGGGAAAGAGACGGAGGGCAGAAGAGAGGAGGAUACCAGCUAGAGCCUGCACUGUACCACAUGGCCUCAGAAACAGGCAGCAAAGUAAACUGAGAGGAAAUAUGAGCAGCAAAACCUAUGAUGAAGCUAUGGCAAGAGGGAACAUAACUGUGAUUAUAGCUCCCAGUUUCCCUGAAAACCUGUGCUGGGAUUCCAGUUUCCAACUUCCUGGAGCUUGGAGAGGAUGGUACCAUCAAUAUGAAACCAAGUGAACAAAAUUACCCAGGUAACAAUCACCAGUAAAUCAUUUUGUGGAGCAAAGAGGAGAGGACAGAGGGUCAGAGGACGCCCAAAGCAAGAGGCACAAAGCUCCAAAAACCCGUUUUGGACUUGCUCUCCAAAGAGCUCUGCAUUUCAUUAGCACGCUGCAAGGCAGCACAUCCAGUUCUGGCAUGGGGAGUGGGGGGUUUCUUAUGUCGGGAGCAGAAAUUACAAACAGAAGACAAGCUGGAGAACAAGCUGCUCGCACUUGUCACUGCAUCUCUGCACUGGCCCCAAUCUGACCCCACCUUCUGGGGUUUAUUGGCUUGGGGCAGGCCAGCAAUAGUGCUCUAACACCUGGGCCCCUCAGCCUCACUGCCAAGGAUUUGUCAACUCUAAAUUACCAGACAUCUCCUAGCUAGCUUGGUGACUUUGCCAAGGUGAAGUACCCCCAGCUUGGCUACCGAUCCUGCUGCUGUAGCAAGGGUUUUCCUAACACGUUGCUCCAUGAGGCACCCCUACUGGCAACCAAAUUUCAAAGAUAGCUCCUGCCCUUCAGUGGUUGGUAGCAUACUAAUAACAGAUCAGCUUGGGUAUGCCCAGCCCAGCCCAGCCUUUAAGGUGAAGCUCCCAGGUCUUCUACAUGUCUUUUCAGCAAACCAAACUACCUUUCCCUGGCAAACUUCCCUUUAUCCCCUCUCUUCCUGGCAGUAGCCCCUCCCUGUGCCAUCAGAGUCUUAUCUAGACAAACAAUGAGCCUGUGUCCCCCCCUAGAAGAGCAUAAAGAGGCCAAGGCCAGGGGUUGUUGCAGACAAAGCAACCAGUCUCCUCUCUCUGCUAGAGAAAGCUCCAGUGGAGUAGCAUGAGCAAGAUCUAUCUUCCUUGCAGCUCAGCACACCAAUUGCACCCAAACCUGGCAACAGAGCAUGGGGUGGCAUAAGAGUUAGUGCUUCAAAGGAGAGGGAAGCCUCCCUCUCCCCACUUUAACUAACAUACGCCUGAAGCAUCAUGGGCAAGCACAGCAUGCUGCAAACAGAUGUGAAUCCUGAGGAACGUGCCAGGGCCAGGGGGAAGAGCUGGGCCCUUGCCUUUAAUCAAGGUUUAAUUAUGCUCACUACAGGGCAGAAGAGAAUUUGUAUAAAGCACUGCUGCCCCUUCUCCGCCCCCAAACGCAGGGAGCUUUUUGCAAAUCCCCUGUCAUGCUUUUAUCCCCCCCCCCCAUCCAUUAAGCAAGUGGCCUAGGAUUUAAACCUUCCCAGGCUCUCUGUAGCACUUCCCCCACCCUGCAAGCUCUAGGACUGCUCGAGCCUUCCCUAAAGUAGGCAGCCAGCUGUGCUCUCCAGGCAAGGGAGUGGCAGAGUCAAGAAUGCAGCCCACCCCCCCCAGCCUUCUCUCUCCCUCCCAACAGCUCCCUGGAUUCCAGAGUGUUGAGACAAGCUGUGCAAGGAUGCUGCAGCAGUGAAUAGAUAUUCCCCCAAUAGGUAAAAAAAAGGUGUGUGUGCAGGGUCAUCUCAGGCUAUUCUUCCAGCCAAUCGCUGGAGCACAUCCAAAAGGGGAGAAUACAUCCAAAGCCAAACCCAGUCUCUUUACACCUCCACCCCACCCACGCCUGUUCUGUCCAGUGCCUUAGCUAGAAGCAUUAGCUGGCUGGUAUCCCAGGAGAUGCAUAUGUAUUCAUCCCUCUAAAGGAUGAGAUGAUUCAUACCAUUAACACUCCCUUACUGUUCAGAGCAUGACUGCCUCCCUCCAGAAGGUAUCCCUAAUUAGAGCAAUAGCUCACACACUAGGGGCUGGAACUAGUGAUCAGUCAUUACCAAUUACAGUAUGGGAAAAGUGAAAGCAAAGCUUUCCCUCCAUCCUUCCCACCUUGGAAGAAUGACCCCAUUUCCCAUUGCAAACUCACUUCUUAUAUCAGGAGGAAGGAUUGUUAAGAGUGCAUUCUUUUCCCAAUUCAAGGCCUUUAGUGAUCAUCACACUGCAAACCCAUUACUCCAGGUAGGGAAACUGAGGUACUGGGAUGUGCCAUCACAUACUGGAUCCAUUCAGAGAGGGAGAUAAGUCUGCCUCCCAUCCUACUUUCCUUUGUGCAUGAAGGACUGGGAAGUAAACAUACACAACAGGGAGCUGCAAACAUGCCUGUUGUAAAGAUAGAUAAGAGCACUGCCACAAAACAAAGUAAAUCAAAUUGGCUCACCAAGCCAAAGGCCACUUAAAAUAGUGCCCAUGUAGCUGUGGUCUAACAUAAGCUAAGUUAUGUGUGUACAUGACCUUUCUCCCUGCAUUGGUAAACCCACACAAAAAAUAUUAGCAGAGCAGUGAAGCAAUGGCAGCAAAGUCUUUUAAAGUCUCUCAUCACCAUUGCUAUUAUAGGAAUGUAAGGAUUCUGCCAUAUUAGUAUUGUGUCAUAUCUUUAGACUUAAGAGGUUUCCAAAAGACUUGCCCAACUCUUCAAGUGAUGCAAGUUUUUAUUUUUAUCUGGUUUAUUUACAUUUGCCUCUGCGCUCACUGGGCAUUCACACAAGUCAUAUUUGGACUACUGCCUAUUCUUUAUGCUUAUUCAUCCCCAAGGCUUAGUUCUGGUUUAUGCCACCUCCUUCAGCUUUCCAGCAAACUAAGUGCAAUGACAUGUACAUAACAGAGAACACAGAGCAAGGAAUUUCAGGCAGAAGAGCUGAAGAAAUAUAGACCCUGUUUGUACACAGAUGUUUGCAGGAACAGGAAAAGCUGCUAGAAAGAGCCAGAGGUAAACUUCUAAAUAAACUGUUGCCAUUGGCCAUCCAUUUCUUUAGCCUCCCCAGUUGUACGUGGAGCCUGCAGUUUAGUUUAUCAUCACUAUCCUUCUUCUGUUUGCUCCAGCUCCCAGGAGAACAAAGCACACCAACCCCUGCCCCCUUUAACAAGGGUAUAAAGGAUUUACUGAAAAAGUCUGUACAGAUAGAUGGAUCACAAGCUGAAGUGCUACAGGCAUCCCAAGCUGUCUCUUUUGGAAAAACUCAAUUGACAUCUGCAGAAUUUAUUAAUAUUUUAAAAUAAGAAGUCUGACUCCCUGUCCUCCCCCCCCCCCCAAAACAAAACAAAAAAACCCAAAAACUUCUUGAACAUCAGAACCACCCACCAAACUAUGCAGCUUUGAUUGAGAGGCCACAGCCAAGGCUUUCCAAACCAGGGCUGCUAAGUAAACAGAGUCCAGUCAAUCUCUUCAAAGCUGUAACUGAAGAGUAAUUCCCCCAUUUACCAUGAUGCCCUAUAGUCCACAGCAUUAUGCCAUAAGCAUAAUUAAGUACCCUUAAAAAAAAAAAGUAGUAUUAUGGUCAGCUUCACUCAUACUUUUUAGCAUGCUGGUUUCUGGGCACUGACAGAGGGGAAAACAGGAUAACCCUGACUGUGCAAGGGUGCCAUUUUUACUACUGAGUUCAGUUUUUUUCCCCCCUCCCAUACUAUAUAUUAAUGGGGAGUUGCUGUUCACUGCUGCAUGCAUGACUGUUCCAAUUGAGCCUAUACUUGCCAAGUACACAUAGUCCCAUCUACGACGCUCCACUGCAGUGAAUUAGUCGUGAUAUAACCCGAGAUAGGUCUGGCAAUGGCUUGGGAAGCUGGACCGGGUGUCUCAAGGGCAAGGUAUCACAUACCACUGGCCAAGUAAAAGAUCACACAUUUACAUGCUUCGAGGACAGAUCAUCCUUGUCAAAGGCAGAGUUCUGAUGUAUCCCAGAAUAGCCUUUACUGCUGGUAUUUCCAAUGUUGCCAAUAGUUAAGUUACAGAGUAUUUGGUUGGUCAUCUAUUAUAUUACACAACUCCUCCUGGAAAGUUAGGAUGGAUGGAACCAGUGCCAACUGGUACUGAAAGGAAGCUCAGCUUCAGGCUUGUCUAACACAGGGAGAGUCAGUGCCUCCUGACCAGCUGGAACAUGGACCUUUCUUCAGUUGUUUGUGGCACAGAAAGCCCUUUAGGGCUUUUAUGCAUAUGGAGCUGUUCCCAAUUAGCUCCAUGUGUUGACAUUUAUUCCAAGAGAAUGCUACUCCCUGUUCAGCCAAACACUUAGCCCUUCAAGUUGAGUAGGAAUGGCUCCAUGUGUUCAAAACACCAGUACUACAGAGAAGCUCCCACCUGUUGUCAGAUAGCUUCUCAAAAAUAAAAAAGGAGAGAAAAAGGUAAGAGUGAAACCCACUGACUGCAGGUUUGAAUAGGAAGACCUUGUCCAAACAGAAAAAUGCAGGGGGAGGUUUGGUGAAGUACAAGAGUUCUCUUCCCUACACCUUCAACUAAGUGAAGUAAUUCCACAGAAGCCAGCCAGCAGGAUAGGAGAAUAGAAAAAAAAGACAGCUAUGUAGACAGCCACUUAAGGAGCUAAAAUAAAACAAAAACCCACCACAACCCACCCCCCACCAAAAAAAACAACCACCAAGAAAACCAAACAAACACACACACCAAACCAAGAACACACACUAGCUACAUUCCCACUACACCCAUUACACCUAAAGGUGACCCACUUGAAAUGGAAAACAAAUCAAACGUGGGCCUGCGAGGAUAAGUGGAGAAUAUCCUCCCAUGGGUAUAUGAAGUAUCAAGAUAGCCUCAAAGAGGGUUGGGGAAAUUUCAGGAAAUCAGAUUUUCUCUUCAGGCCUAUUAAGAAGUGGUAACAUUACUGGAGUGUGAUACUGCAAGUACCAAGAGGGGUAAGGGAAUAACAGAUUUGUGUUUAAACUUCAAAUCAAACACUUAACUCCUACAAUACUCUGGGAGAACAGACACCCCCCUUAAGAAUUUAGCUUCCUUGUAAAGAUUGAGACAGAGAGAGACACAGAGACACUAUCUUAUUUGAAAAGGUAAAACACUGUCUCUCCCCAGAGCCUUCUUUUAUCUAAAAGAGUGUACAUUACCAAGCAUGACAAACAUAUCAUGACAGAACAGAGUCCCUUCUCUCCAUUGCUGUUUUCACUCUGCUCUUUCUGUCCCCUCCAGUCUUCUGAGGGACAGGAACUGCAUAGCUGCACAUCCAAUAGUGCAAAACCCUAUGCCUCUCCCCCCCCACACUGCUCCUUUCUAAGCUAGGGAAGGGAGGAGGUGUCUCCCAUAGACCAAGGUUUCUGCAGUUGAUUUAAAUGAUUUUCCCCAACAUUUCUGCAAACUGAAGGAUAUCCUAGAUUGCACAAGACUUUGUAAGGGUUAUUAACUAAAAAGGCUGAAGUCUC